rnacentral:rRNA from 1 species
UACGUAGGGAGCAAGCGUUGUUCGGAUUUACUGGGCGUAAAGGGCGCGUAGGCGGCAACUCAAGUCAUCUGUGAAAUCUCCGGGCUUAACUCGGAACGGCCAAGUGAAACUGUCAUGCUAGAGUGCAGAAGGGGCAAUCGGAAUUCUUGGUGUAGCGGUGAAAUGCGUAGAUAUCAAGAGGAACACCUGAGGUGAAGACGGGUUGCUGGGCUGACACUGACGCUGAGGCGCGAAAGCCAGGGGAGCAAACGGG